rnacentral:tRNA from 1 species
GGUGGUAUGUCGGAAUGGUAAACGAUACAUUGCGGUGCUGAGGAAGCUAACAACAGCUCAGUCGCUAAACCUAUCAUUGCAGGUUCAAGUCCUGCUACCACCA